rnacentral:tRNA from 1 species
GGGAAACCGGAGUCCAAUCAAGCCCUUGCUAAAACUGCCCUGAACGCCCUCUUAAUCAGCGGGCCGCAGGUUCGAUCCCUGCACGGCCCACCA